CUUUUCAUAAGAACUUUAUUUCUCAAAAAGGAGGGAAGAAUCCAAAGUAUUAAAAUAAUCCUCUAAUUUUUGUUUUUUUUUGGGAAAGGAAAGGAUGACAAAAUAAUUCGUAAAAAAAUUUCAAGCACAAUGGCUGCAGGUACUUCAUCCUGAAACUUGUACCUCCUAUCUGCAGCUCUGGGUUCCAACUGUGUCCAGGUAGUGGCAAGCCCCUGGAUCCAGAGAGUUUACUUAUAUUUACUCCAAUAAAUACAAAAUGUCAAUCUUCCCAGUGCAAAUGAUUUAGUCCUUUUUGUGAUUGCUUAUGAUGAGAAUGCUAAAAAGAAGAGCUGUCUCUCUUCUAAGUUCCAAAUCUUUCCUUUUUGAAGAUGACUAGGAGUAUGAAAGAAAUGAAACAUGGAAAGACUUAUUAGGUGUGACUGGCUCUUGUAACUACCAAAUGCCAAGGGAGACUUUACCUCAUUGAGGCGAUAAAAGGUAAAAAGCAACCAUGAUUUUCCACUGCCUUUUAUGUGGGGAAAUGGCACCUUUCUGUUUCUAUCACUGAAGGGAAUUACACUAUGUGAGGCAAAGUCCCCAUCCGUAGCAAUUAAGCAAAGUCCCUAACUACAGCGACUGUUAUCUAACUUAGAAAGAAAGAGAGAGAGGAAGAAAAAGAGAGAGAAAGGAAGGAAAGAAGGAAGAAAGAAAGAAAAGAGUAAGCUGGAACGGAGUCUUUGGCCCAGGCUGAUGUUGCCACAGAGCCCAGAAGCAUCAAGGUGCACGUUCCAACAGGAGACCCUUCCAGGAAGCAGGAGACAAGAAGGCCUGGUCCAUCCCCUGAGGUGCAGAAGACCAUUUUAACUGGGAAGACCCCUCAAAACAUGUCCGGCUCUCCUCUGAAUGCUUUCAGUUGGUGUUUCUCUGGGGAACAGGGAGGUUCUCGUGAAGAUACUUUAAGCUUCCGUGCUCUGAGAAGUCUGAGACCACGUGGUCCUCCCCUCGCAGCAGCCACUUGGUAGUAAGCAAUCCUUCAAGUCCCACUGGUCCCCGGGCGUGGAUUCGGGAUGUACUGAUUCCCACUUCAGCUCCUGUGGAAAAGCAGGGGGAUGAGGAUGUGGCACUCCCCUAGCCUCUGCUUCCUGUAGCCUAUCAGGCUUACAUCUUCUCCUUCUCACUAGGCACCUCUCCCCUUCCUCUUCUGACCCAUCCUUGCCGUGCUAGCCUGAUUUCCACUGUCCCCAUAAAUGUGUCCUCUGCUUGCUAUAAAUCACGGUCCUUCUUCUAAGGAAAGACAAUGCAUGGGCUUCUUUUUGGUACUGCAUAGAAGUUCCAUCUCCCUAAGUAUCCUUUAAACUAGAGACAGUAAAGGACAUGUUCUAGGUAUUCUCCAGGAUGCUUAGCAUCUAGACACUCAUGAGAUUGGAUACACAAAAGGGUACUAUUCACUUCCCGCCGUCCAGCUCCAGCCUCAGACACCAGGCACCAGGGCUUUUCCUGUGUCUGGCUUCGUACAAGGUUCCCAAGCACUGUGUGCAGUGGAGGCAGUUCCCUCAUUCAUUACAACUUACUGAACAGGCACUGAGUUAGGCCCUGGGGACAAAGUAAUAAAUAAUUGAUGCAAUUCUUAUGGUCAAAAGAGCCAAGGAAUAGCGCAGCAAAUAAUUCUGUGCAGUGACAGGGUGCAGAGAAGGGUGCUGGGAGAGAGACUGUGGGCAGGGUGGCAGCACCUUGGAUACUGUGGUCAGGGGGAAUUUCCCUAAGGAGGUGCCUUUGGCUAACACCUGAACAAUGAGAAAGAGUUGGGAGGGGGGAGCUGUGGGAGGCGGGGAGGGGAGCUGCAGGCAGAGAGGAGCAAGGGCAAGGACUCGAGAGGGGAUGUGCCUGGGUAAGUGGCUGGCAAGGAGACUGUGACCACUGGCUUCAAAUCCUGGUUUAAGAGGGUAGAGACCGCAUGAAUUUUGGCAUGUUGCCUAACCAUCUCUUGCUUCAGUUUUUCCUUUUGGAAAAGGAGGAAAAUAUCAGAAUCCAUUAUGUAGAACUAAGUGAGAUAAUGCAUGUGAUGCACUUAGUAGAGUGAUACUGCCUGUCACUGUUAUUAAUGCAUUUCACAGGAAGGGAACUCAACCAGAGCCUGAGCUUUAGCUCUGAGUGGGUGAAGGAAAGUAUGGAGGGGUCUUUGCUCCUCCCACAUCUUGGACUUGCACUUGAAAGCUGGGCACCUCAGCUCUUAUAAGUAUGCUGCUCUUUCUUCAAGAACAUGGAAUAUAAAGAUCAGCGCAAGCGAUGUGAUAAUUAAAUCAUAUCCCACCUCAACAGAAAUAUGGAGCUAAAAAUAAGAGUCCAAUGACUAAGAGUAAUUGAGCAAAAUUCCCUUUAAUAACCUUUAGCAUUUCAGUGAGAACUACUUCUCUAGGCAGAUCAUCUAUUCAAAAGUUCAGAGAAAUUAAAGUGUGUUACAUAGUUGAAAUAUUCUCAGAUGUGCCAUAAAUGCCUUAUUGGAGCUCUGUAUAAUGGUACCCCUGAAAACCAGAGACUGUCUGGAAAAUUCUUAAUACUACUGGCGGUGGAGAUUACAUUACUAAUGAUGAAAGGGAAAGGGUGUCUUUCUGAAGCUUUCUGUUCCAUAUACUGAUUUAUUUAUUUAUUUAUUUUUUAUUUUUAUUUUAUUUUUUGUCUUUUUGUCUUUCUAGGGCCGCAUCCUCAGCACAUGGAGGUUCCCAGGUGUGGCCCUAAAAAGACCAAAAAAAAAGAAAAAGUAUUACUGGUACAACACAGAACAAAAACCAAAACAAACUCCUCCACAACACUGACUAAACUGCCUGGUCUUUACCCUCUGCCUCCUCCAUGUCCUUUUUGUUGGCUAACAGGAUCUCAUCUCGCUGGUCCGUCAACAAAUCAGCCAGAUGAUAGAUAAUCUCUGCUCUCU
rnacentral:lncRNA from 1 species